rnacentral:rRNA from 1 species
GUGAACGCUGGCGAUAGGCCUAACACAUGCAAGUCGAACGGCAGCACAGUAAGAGCUUGCUCUUACGGGUGGCGAGUGGCGGACGGGUGAGGAAUACAUCGGAAUCUACUUUUUCGUGGGGGAUAACGUAGGGAAACUUACGCUAAUACCGCAUACGACCUACGGGUGAAAGCAGGGGAUCUUCGGACCUUGCGCGAUUGAAUGAGCCGAUGUCGGAUUAGCUAGUUGGCGGGGUAAAGGCCCACCAGGGCGACGAUCCGUAGCUGGUCUGAGAGGAUGAUCAGCCACACUGGAACUGAGACACGGUCCAGACUCCUACGGGAGGCAGCAGUGGGGAAUAUUGGACAAUGGGCGCAAGCCUGAUCCAGCCAUACCGCGUGGGUGAAGAAGGCCUUCGGGUUGUAAAGCCCUUUUGUUGGGAAAGAAAAGCAGCAGGUUAAUACCCCGCUGUUCUGACGGUACCCAAAGAAUAAGCACCGGCUAACUUCGUG